AAAAAAGCUAGAGGACUGAUCUAUACAAGAUGACGUGCAGCACGCUUUUUAAAGUGACGUUGAACGCCUUUUGCACUCUUUCGGUUGUACUGGCAGAGAAUCAACCACAGAGUUGCUACUUAUAUCAAUUCAGUCCAACGGAUACGACUCCUGUUUCAGACGUCAGUAAGUUUAGCGAG